rnacentral:lncRNA from 1 species
AGCCCCCACAGCCCCCACUGCCCCCAUGUUCCCCCACGGCCCCCCCUUGCGCUGCGUCAUGCUGGAUUCAAUGCAGAUGUGCAGGGGCAGGAGGGCCUGGGAGCAGACGUGCCUACACCCAGGGGAGCGGGCUAUUAGUCACUCUGGUGGAGAGGGGAGGAGGGAGGGCAGGGCAGCCCAGCUGGAGGCGGCCAGGGAUCCAGGGUGGAGCGCAGUGAGGACUUCCAGCCCUGGCAGCUGGACAGCCGUGUCUGUGCCGGCCAAUGCAGAGAGGCACCACCCCUACCUGACGGCCAGUGCUCCUCGCGACACCCCUACCUGAUGUUUCCUGCGGCCUGGAGCCCACACUGUGUUCUGGCCUCCUGAGCUGGCCGCACAGAUGGCUGUGUCCAGCUUGGCCAGAGGGCAAAGGGGCUGGUGGGAGGCCAAGGGACAGGGACACUCUGGGUUCAGGCACACCCCCCCCCACUACCUGGGGUCUUUUCUCCAGACCCCUGCUCUGUCAGGCUCUGCAGGUGGCUACAGAGGUGACAGUCCUGGCCCGGCUCAGGCGGCUGUCACAAGGCAUGGCGACGAGGGUGGUUCUGUACAGAGCUGGGGUCUUCCACACACUGAGGCAGCUCAAGGACCGUCCCCUGCCCCGCCUCAAACCCUGCGUCUUGUGAUCAAGUCAGAAAGAUUUCAGGCUUGUCACUCAGAGUAAUGGGCAUGAGUUUAUCAAAGGGGCAGAAAAGGGCAGCAGGGACACUCUCAAGGGAGAGGGGCUCCUCUCAGAGAGGAGAGGGACAGCGUGCCACUCUUGCACUCCAGUUUUAUUGGGGCAGUCCAGAGAAGUUUCCAGAAAGUCCCACCCAGGUCCACCUCUUGACUUUUGAUUGACAGCAGGAUGACAUCAGACUUUCAAGUCCCCACGGCCAUGACAACCCUAGUCACCUUGUCUCACACUGACCACUAGUAACUGGAUUUCUUUCCUGGGGCGGGGUACUGAGGACUGAACCCAGGGGCACUCGGCCGUAUCCCCAGCCCUAUUUUGUAUUUUAUUUAGAGACAGGGUCUCACUGAGUUGCUAAGUGCCUCACUUUUGCUGAGGCUGGGUCUGAAUUUGUGACCCUCCUACCUCAGCCUCCCGAGCCACUGGGAUUACAGGCGUGCACCACUGUUCCUGGCUCUAAUUGGAUUCUUAACAUAAAUCAUUUCAGAUUUUAUGGUGAGGAAGAAUUAUCCUUAAUAUCCUGAGCUCCUAGAUCUGGUCACAAAAGCCCUUCGGGGUAGGCUUAUCGACAUGAUUUUGCGCCUGCGUUUCUCCAGCAGAUAACAGGUCGUGUGCUGGGGACUGUGUCUCCUCAUGGGUCCACUCCAGCCAGGCAGGGCUGCAGGUAAGUGCUUCUGACAAAGAAGGCUCGUGAGGGUCAGCACGUGGGCCACUCAUAGAAUGAGUCCCUCCCUCCUGCCCCCACCCCGGCGCCUGUCCCCUCGCCGUUCAACACCAGCAACUGUUUCUCCUGGUUCUGUCUGGACGUCCGAGGUCCAGGUGCCGGCAGGUCCGUGUCUGGGGAGGAUUGUGGAUGGCCACUUUCUCCUUGUGCCUUGACACAGCAGAGAGAGGACAGCUCUGGGUCUCCCAUCAGGAUUUCUCCUCGUGACCUCGUCACCUCCUGCAGGCCCACGUCAACACCAGCCCCUGGGGGCAUAGAUGCCCCCGGAUGUGAACUGGGGACGCAGACAUUCGGUCUAUAGUGGCGGGUUCUGAUUCUGAGUUAAAGGAACCCGUGUUGCGAGGCCACCCAGGUUCUAGAAUUGAGGCCUCUCCUGCACCCCAGCAUUAUGUGCCUAAGUCUCAGGGGAUCCUCGUGUGUGGUUACCAGAGAGCAGGCCACCAGUGAGUGCCUGGUGACAUGAGGCAGACGGGGCGAGAGGGAAACUAUGGACCCUGGAAGAAACAGGCGAGUCAUGGUGGACAGUGCUGGCCGCAGCACCCCUGCUGCUUACGGCUCCAGAGGAGAGGCGGCCCCCACCACGCAGCACAGGCCCAAGACAGAGCUGGAGGUUCAAGUGUAGCCACCACUGAAACUCAGGGGACAGUGGGGAGGCAGGGACAAGGGCAUCUGACAGAGAAGACAGGAAGCCAGACAGGCCGAGGCUGGGUGUGUGGCCAGCAGGACCCCAGCCAGAGAACCCAGGCAGGACGGGGCAGAGCGCUGUGGUUUGGGGGGCUUGGGUGUCCCCCAUGGCACCCUGCUGAGAUUCAGUCACCACCGUGAGGUAUCAGGAGGAUGGAAAGGCCACCCGGUGCUGAGCGUGGGGGCUUUGGAGGGAUCAGGAUUAGACAAGGCCACAGGCUGGGGCCCCUAUGACUGGGUCCUGGUGGCUUUAUAAAAUAGGGAGGGAGACCAGAGGACACACACACACACACACACACGACAUGGGAUUCUCUGUGCUGCCUCAGGACUCUGCCAACAGGAAAGCCAUCACCAGAGGCAACCCCUUGACCUUGGACCUCCAGAACCAUGAGCUAAAAUAAACCGUUUUAUAAAA